UACGUAGGGACCGAGCGUUGUCCGGAAUCAUUGGGCGUAAAGAGCGUGUAGGCGGCUUGCUAAGUCUUGCGUGAAAUCUCGGGGCUCAACCCCGAGCGGUCGUGGGAAACUGGCAGGCUAGAGUGCGGGAGAGGAGAAUGGAAUUCCUGGUGUAGCGGUGAAAUGCGCAGAUAUCAGGAAGAACACCCGUGGCGAAGGCGGCUUUCUGGGACGGUACUGACGCUGAGACGCGAAAGCGUGGGGAGCGAACAGG
rnacentral:rRNA from 1 species